UACAGAGGGUGCGAGCGUUAAUCGGAAUUACUGGGCGUAAAGCGCACGCAGGCGGCUCUGCAAGUCAGGUGUGAAAUCCCCGGGCUCAACCUGGGAACUGCACCUGGGACUGCAUGGCUAGAGUAUGGAAGAGGAAGGCGGAAUUCCCGGUGUAGCGGUGAAAUGCGUAGAUAUCGGGAGGAACAUCAGUGGCGAAGGCGGCCUUCUGGUCCAAUACUGACGCUCAGGUGCGAAAGCGUGGGGAGCAAACAGG
rnacentral:rRNA from 1 species